UACGUAGGGUGCGAGCGUUAAUCGGAAUUACUGGGCGUAAAGCGUGCGCAGGCGGUCUGUUAAGACCGAUGUGAAAUCCCCGGGCUUAACCUGGGAACUGCAUUGGUGACUGGCAGGCUUUUGAGUGUGGCAGAGGGAGGUAGAAUUCCACGUGUAGCAGUGAAAUGCGUAGGAGAUGUGGAGGAAUACCGAUGGCGAAGGCAGCCUACCUGGGCCGAACAC
rnacentral:rRNA from 1 species